rnacentral:rRNA from 1 species
GAUGAACGCUGGCGGCGUGCCUAAUACAUGCAAGUCGAGCGAACAGAUGAGGAGCUUGCUCCUCUGACGUCAGCGGCGGACGGGUGAGUAACACGUGGAUAACCUACCUAUAAGACUGGGAUAACUUCGGGAAACCGGAGCUAAUACCGGAUAAUAUAUUGAACCGCAUGGUUCAAUAGUGAAAGACGGUUUUGCUGUCACUUAUAGAUGGAUCCGCGCCGCAUUAGCUAGUUGGUAAGGUAACGGCUUACCAAGGCAACGAUGCGUAGCCGACCUGAGAGGGUGAUCGGCCACACUGGAACUGAGACACGGUACCGACUCCUACGGGAGGCAGCAGUAGGGAAUCUUCCGCAAUGGGCGAAAGCCUGACGGAGCAACGCCGCGUGAGUGAUGAAGGUCUUCGGAUCGUAAAACUCUGUUAUUAGGGAAGAACAAAUGUGUAAGUAACUAUGCACGUCUUGACGGUACCUAAUCAGAAAGCCACGGCUAACUACGUG